ACUACUGGCCGAUAACUGACUUCUUGACAACAUGGAAAUUCCUCUCAUACAUCAUAGUAGCCAAGCUUAGAAGGCAUGUGUCAAGACAAAAGCAAAGCUUAGAAAGGCAUGGGAUAGGUCGAAGCACCAGUUACCGGCUGUCAACGCAGUCACACUGUAAGACAAGACAGACCGCCUGGUCAACUGGAUUCACUACAAGAAAGUCUACAGGACAUUAAUAGCAUUCAAGAAGAACUCAAUGCAGUUGUGAAAAAGAAUGCUGUAUGCCAAUUCCAAGGCCACCACGCAAGUCAACAUAUAUCAAGGUGAUGCACUGUUUCCACUGCUUUUCUGCAUUUGCCUAGAUUGCUUCAGGCAGAUCAUCUCAAAGAGUGGCUACAGAUACAGAAACAGAAGAGGAGCAACCAUCAUCUAUUAGAUGUACGUGGAUGACAUCAAGCUAAAUGCCAGGAGUGACCGAGUCAAAUCACUGUUCUCCCUGAUCAGGACCAAUGCAAGGAAGUCAGUCACAGCCAAAUACCUCAGGAAGACUGCAGGUUUACUUGUGGUUCCCAGAGUUUCCAGAAGCAGAAUGGGAGGCAGAUCCUUCAGUUAUUAGCUCCUCUGUUGUGUAAUCAGCUCCCAGUUUGGGUUCAGGAGGCAGACAGCGGAAGGAACAACUGGAACAGAUGUGGGAGCUGUCCUCUAGAGCUGCACUCGAACUGACCUCCCUUCCCAGGCUGUGGACUGACACUUCAUCAAGAGGCCUUGUGACAGAGCAAGAGUGACGAGGACCAUCCAACCCCCCCCUGCCUCUUCCUCUCUGUCCUGCUUUUGCUGUGCCUUUUGUUUGGUGCCUAACGACAGCUGUGAUGGAACCGUCAUGCUCUGUGAUUAUGCCGUCCUGCAGCCAGGCCGUCUCUCUGCUGCUGUCAUCGUUGUUCUGCUCAUUCUCCGUCUCUAUCCACUCCGUGCACCAGAGAGAGCACUGCAGGUCAAACAGAGCCUUGCAUUCUCACCCUAUAUUACCCCUGAUCUCAUAUGGCAUCAUAUCCAAUCUAAUUUAAGAAGAGAUCUAGUGUGUUCUAUAAUGCAUUUGUGUAUAUGCAUGUAUAUAUGUUUAUGUAUAUGUUGCCAUAAGCAGCAGAUAGGGAGGCCCAGUAGCUAAAAAUAUCAUUUUCCUUCGCCCAGGAAUUGUCUGGAGGGUUCAUUGGAAACUUGUGCAGCUGGGUGCGUUUCCCGCUGUUCGCCUGAACACAUACCCCUCAUUCGGAGACGGUGAGCAGCUCUGCCUAUUAAAAUGUAAAUUCCUUCUCGCUGCAGCAGCAGCAACAGCAGCGACGGGCGAGCCCAGACUGGGCUGCAGCAGGAAAGGAAGGGGAAACUGGUGGGGGUGAGAAGUGUACACGCUAUAGGCAGGAUCUGUCUUUCACCACGCAGAGGCUCCCAGAUAGGCAGCAUGUGGCUCUAUAAUAUGCUCCACUGGCCGGGCCCAUCAGCGGAUUUCAAAGCUCAGGCAGGAAACAAAAGGUGACUGGGCCAUUCCUCUGAUGCAAGCUCACUGUAAUCAACUUCACUGGCUUUAUUCAUGCCUGUGUCUUUUAUCCUAUAUUAAAAUGCUUCUUUUUUUAGAAUUUAUUUUACUCAAUUUGCACAAUUUUUUUUAAACAAAUUAAGGUUAUUACAUUUUAUUCCUAGGACACAUUUCAAAGGAUCAACACUUCAUGAGUGACCAUAUCUUUCAGAGUAACAGUGUGUCUGUUUGAAAAAUGGGGGACACAGAGGAGUUAUGGUUACAAAAUAAGCAAGCUAACCUUAAGCUUUAUUUGAGUAAUAGGCUUCUAAAGGGUUUUUGCUGGCAGGGCUUUGCAUUUUGUUCUAUUACUUUCAUAAUGCUUUUACAUGAAGCAGACAAAUUCCCACUUUUAUUUAACAAUUUUUACACAUUAUUGAUUAGUCCCUCACAAUGCAUAAUUAUUUUCAGGACUAACUUUUCUUGAUGCUAAAUACAAAUGAAAUAAAUAAUAAAAAAAUACAGAAAAGCUGUAGUUGAAAAUAAAACAAAUAAUAAACAAUGAAACAAUCAUUGUUAUGUGUCUAAUUAAUAAUGAUAAAAGUCCAAGCCUUGAAUGAUACACUGGUUUAAGCAUCAGCAAAAAUAGGAGCACGCACACAUACACACACACAAAAAAAAACAAAAAACAGACAAGCCCAUAUAAAAACAUGAACACAGAUUUAAUGUGUAACAGUAAGUUUUUUUAAGAUGCCUACAAACCCCAGGAACCUGUUAUUACAUAAUUGUAUAAUUGUUGCCAUGCUAAGAAUACUUCAUAAGGGUCUAUACACAGCCCUCUUUCUGGAAUAACUGUAUACGAUCAUUAAAAAUGCCCUCUGAUAAAAUUGAAAGCUAUUAUUAAACAUUAAAACUUGUACUUAGUCUUGCUUUAAAUACUCUUAUAUAAUACAGAAUAAACAUGUUCAGAAAUUAGAAUCCUGUAUUGCAUACAUGUAUUAUUGUCAUUAUACUAGCAUAUAUUGAGCUCCCUGGAAGUAUGUUAAGUAUAUGAAUUCGCAGUGAUGCGUGAUAACGUUCUAGAUGUGAACAUAAAAACUGUAUUUUAUUUAAAAAACUGUAUUUUUGCUUUAUUCUUCUGUUUCCAUUUGAGUGUUUUCUUACUGUAUGUGUACUGUACUGAACAGCCAAUGAUAAAUGAACACUGAAUGGAACAGGAAUUGCAUAUAAUUGUAGUUCCCAGUUAACUUACAUUCUGUCCUCGACUUUAGUUCAUCUCCAGUGACUGAAAUGAUGAGCAGAAAUAAGGCCAAUGUAUGAAUGAUAACCUGCAAACUGACAGCACCUACCUUUGUUGUAGCUGGCGUCAUGUUGGAGUUCCUAGCAUGUGUCACUAGAUGGAGCUGCGAUUAUACUGUAAGCAGCUCACACCCCUCGGCGCAGCGGCCACAUACACAGCCUCUACCUGCAUGUCCUCUACUUAAACUGAACACAAGAAACACAGCUGGCUGCUCCAACUGUUGGCCUCUAUGCUUAAUGAAUUUUGUAUUAGACUUUUUUUCUCCCUUUUUUUCUGCCCAGCAUUUUAUUAUGCAGCAAACAAACGGAGAAACCAAAUAAAAAACAACACAUGAAAAUAUAUUUU